rnacentral:rRNA from 1 species
GACAGAGGGUGCAAACGUUGUUCGGAAUCACUGGGCGUAAAGCGUGCGUAGGCGGUCUUGUAAGUCGGAUGUGAAAGCCCCGGGCUCAACCUGGGAAGUGCACUCGAUACUGCAAGACUUGAGUACUGGAGAGGUUGGUGGAAUUCUCGGUGUAGAGGUGAAAUUCGUAGAUAUCGGGAAGAACAUCGGUGGCGAAGGCGGCCAACUGGACAGAUACUGACGCUGAGGCACGAAAGCGUGGGGAGCAAACAGG